rnacentral:rRNA from 1 species
AAUCGGGCUUGGGGACACUGUCUGGUGGGUAGUUUGACUGGGGCGGUCUCCUCCCAAAGAGUAACGGAGGAGCACGAAGGUUGGCUAAGUAUGGUCGGACAUCAUACGGUUAGUGCAAUGGCAUAAGCCAGCUUAACUGCGAGACAGACACGUCGAGCAGGUACGAAAGUAGGUCAUAGUGAUCCGGUGGUUCUGAAUGGAAGGGCCAUCGCUCAACGGAUAAAAGGUACUCCGGGGAUAACAGGCUGAUACCGCCCAAGAGUUCAUAUCGACGGCGGUGUUUGGCACCUCGAUGUCGGCUCAUCACAUCCUGGGGCUGAAGUCGGUCCCAAGGGUAUGGCUGUUCGCCAUUUAAAGUGGUACGCGAGCUGGGUUUAGAACGUCGUGAGACAGUUCGGUCCCUAUCUGCCGUGGGCGUUUGAGAAUUGAAGAGGGCUGCUCCUAGUACGAGAGGACCGGAGUGGACGAACCUCUGGUGUUCGGGUUGUCAUGCCAAUGGCAUUGCCCGGUAGCUAUGUUCGGAACUGAUAACCGCUGAAAGCAUCUAAGCGGGAAGCAGGCUUUGAGAUGAGUUCUCACUGGAGAUUUAAUCUCCCUAAAGGGUCGUUGGAGACUACAACGUUGAUAGGUCAGGUGUGUAAGGGUUGUGAGGCCUUGAGCUAACUGAUACUAAUUGCCCGUGAGGCUUAACCAUACAACACCCAAACGGUU